rnacentral:rRNA from 1 species
AAUAGAUACCCGGGUAGUCCACGCCGUAAACGAUGAGUGCUAAGUGUUAGGGGGUUUCCGCCCCUUAGUGCUGCAGCUAACGCAUUAAGCACUCCGCCUGGGGAGUACGGUCGCAAGACUGAAACUCAAAGGAAUUGACGGGGGCCCGCACAAGCGGUGGAGCAUGUGGUUUAAUUCGAAGCAACGCGAAGAACCUUACCAGGUCUUGACAUCCCAUUGACCACUAUGGAGACAUAGUUUUCCCUUCGGGGACAACGGUGACAGGUGGUGCAUGGUUGUCGUCAGCUCGUGUCGUGAGAUGUUGGGUUAAGUCCCGCAACGAGCGCAACCCUUGUUCUUAGUUGCCAUCAUUUAGUUGGGCACUCUAAGGAGACUGCCGGUGACAAACCGGAGGAAGGUGGGGAUGACGUCAAAUCAUCAUGCCCCUUAUGACCUGGGCUACACACGUGCUACAAUGGACGGUACAAACGGUUGCCAACCCGCGAGGGGGAGCUAAUCCGAUAAAACCGUUCUCAGUUCGGAUUGUAGGCUGCAAACCCGUCCGUACCUACUAGUAGACGGAACG